AGAAUCAACGCUGGCGGCGUGCCUAACACAUGCAAGUCGCACGAGAAAGGGGAGCAAUCCCUGAGUACAGUGGCGCACGGGUGAGUAACACGUGAAUCAUCUACCUCCGAGUGGGGAAUAACUGAGAGAAAUCUUAGCUAAUACCGCAUAACACUUACGAGUCAAAGCAGCAAUGCGCUUGGAGAGGAGUUCGCGGCAGAUUAGUUAGUUGGCGGGGUAAUGGCCCACCAAGACGAUGAUCUGUAUCCGGCCUGAGAGGGCGCACGGACACACUGGAACUGAAACACGGUCCAGACUCCUACGGGAGGCAGCAGUGGGGAAUUUUGCGCAAUGGGGAAACCCUGACGCAGCAACGCCGCGUGGAGGAUGAAGCCCCUUGGGUGUAAACUCCUUUCGAUCGGGAAGAUAAUGACGGUACCGAUAUAAGAAGCCCCGGCUAACUUCGCGCCAGCAGCCGC
rnacentral:rRNA from 1 species